rnacentral:rRNA from 1 species
GACGAACGCUGGCGGCGUGCUUAAUACAUGCAAGUCGAACGGACAGACCCUGCUUUUGUGGGGUUCUCGUGUGGCGAACGGGUGAGUAACACGCGUGUAUACCGCCCCUGUCUGUCUGAUAUCACCAGGAAACUCCGGCUCUUAUCGCAUAUGAGAUCUUGCACCACGGUGGGCGAUGGUAAGUUUCGGCGGUGGGGGCUGGUCUCGCGGCUUAUCAGCUGGAUGGGGGGGUAGUGGCUUUCAAGGGCUUCGACGGGUAGCCGGCCUGAGAGGGUUACCGGGCACAUUGGGCCUGAGAUAGGGCGCAGUCGCCUACGGGAGGCAGCAGGGGGGAAUAUUGCACAAUGGGCGGAAGCCUGAUGCAGCAACGCCGCGUGCGUGAUGACGGCCUUCGGGGUGUAAACCGCUUUCGCCUGUGACGAAGCGGGAGUGACGGUAAUGGGUAAAGAAGCACCGGCUAACUACGUG